rnacentral:tRNA from 1 species
GGAUUGUGGCUCAGUGGCAGAGCGCUUGCCUUGAACAUGAGAGGCACUAGGUUCGAUCCUCAGCACCA